UAGAGUUUGAUCCUGGCUCAGAACGAACGCUGGCGGCAGGCCUAACACAUGCAAGUCGAGCGCGCCUUCGGGUGAGCGGCGGACGGGUUAGUAACGCGUGGGAAUAUGCCCUUUGGUACGGAAUAGCCUCUGGAAACGGAGAGUAAUACCGUAUGAGCCCUUCGGGGGAAAGAUUUAUCGCCAAAGGAUUAGCCCGCGUUAGAUUAGGUAGUUGGUGGGGUAAUGGCCUACCAAGCCUACGAUCUAUAGCUGGUUUUAGAGGAUGAUCAGCAACACUGGGACUGAGACACGGCCCAGACUCCUACGGGAGGCAGCAGUGGGGAAUCUUGGACAAUGGGGGCAACCCUGAUCCAGCCAUGCCGCGUGAGUGAUGAAGGCCUUAGGGUCGUAAAGCUCUUUCGCCUGUGAAGAUAA
rnacentral:rRNA from 1 species